CAUGCCUUACACAUGGCAAGUCGAACGGCGAGCACGGGAGCAAUCCUGGUGGCGAGUGGCGAACGGGUGAGUAUAUAUCGGAACGUGCCCAGUCGUGGGGGAUAACGUAGCGAAAGCUAGCUAAUACCGCAUACGAUCUAUGGAUGAAAGCGGGGGAUCGCAAGACCUCGCGCGAUUGGAGCGGCCGAUAUCAGAUUAGGUAGUUGGUGAGGUAAAGGCUCACCAAGCCGACGAUCCGUAGCUGGUCUGAGAGGACGACCAGCCACACUGGGACUGAGACACGGCCCAGACUCCUACGGGAGGCAGCAGUGGGGAAUUUUGGACAAUGGGCGCAAGCCUGAUCCAGCAAUGCCGCGUGCAGGAUGAAGGCCUUCGGGUUGUAAACUGCUUUUGUACGGAACGAAACGGUGAGCUCUAAUACAGUUUGCUAAUGACGGUACCGUAAGAAUAAGCACCGGCUAACUACGUG
rnacentral:rRNA from 1 species